rnacentral:lncRNA from 1 species
AUGAGAGGUUCAUCUGGGGAAGAUGGGAAGUUCUGGAGCCGAUGGCAGUGAUGCUCACAAAACAGUGGGAAUGCGCUUAGCAUCACCGAACCACGCACGUAAAAGUCACUGCAACGGCCCCUCUCACGUCCACUUUACCACAAUAACAACGCUCAGAAAGAACAAAUGAACGAACGUCAGAAGGAGGGGGCCAUGCAGGUCUGGAGGGAAACCGGGUCUCAUUGGCCUCACCCUGACUUUUCUCAACUCCCUGGGUUACUGAUUGGGUUCUGAGGUGCUCCACGUCCUCACCAGGCAAAACACCCCGAGAUCCCUGCCCACGGGCCAACACCACGGCAGGAUGUCCCAGAUGGCGAGCCCUGUUCCUGUCCCCAAGGCAGAGUGUGUCAUCGGGGACUCGCCCAGGUGACACCAUCAGAGACCACGCAGGCAGCCCCACCAGGGGAGUCUGUGCGGAUGUGGGCGGCAGUGGCGAGUGGUAGGGCCGCCUGGUGGAGCCCAGCAGAGCCUCGGCGGGGGUAGGAGGGAGACGGGGAGGCCUACUCCCUAAAAGUGUAUACCAUUUGUUAAAAUGCACCACAAGAAAAUGAGCCCCUAGUCCUUGAUGAUACAGAAAUAUACAACUUAAAUGCAAAUGGACAGAACAGUGCUGAAUCAACUGAUUUUAAGACUUCCUGUACAGCUACAGUCAUGAAGCCUGCAUGGUUCAGGGAAGUGGACAGACAGGUCAAUGGCACAGAAUAGGAGACCCACAGACAGACCCACAUGGCCAUGCUCGAUUGGCUUUUGACAAAGGUGCACCAGCCUUUGUCAACGGAGGAGGCAGCAGCCUUCACAAAUGGGGCUUGAGCAACUGGCCAUCCGCACCCACACGUGGCACCAAAACCACCCUCCGUCUCAGCCUCGCACCCUACACAAAAACUGCAGAAGGUCUUUAUGAGCUUAGGUUAAGCUAAAGUCUUAGACAAGGCCCCCAAAGCACGAUCCACAAUGGAAAUGAUUGACGAGCUAGAAUUCAUCAGAAUGAAAAACUUCCGAUCUCUGAAUGAAGAUAAAAAAACAAGCUAGCCACAGACUGGAGGAAGAUGCUUGCAAAUCACAUAUCUGACAAAGGACUUGUAUCUAAAAAAUAUAAAGAAAUCUCGAUACUCAACAGUUAAAAACCAACAAUCCAGUUCCAAGAAUGGGCAAAAGAUUUGAAGACUCUUCCCCAGGGGACUUACAGAUGGAAAUUAGCACAUGAAAAGACACUCAAGCAUCCUUAGCCAUGGGAGAAAUGCAAAUCAAGCCAUGUUGCGGUCCCACCUCCCAGUGCGGGAAACGUAAAAACACCGACGCCAAGUGCCGGCGAGGAUGCGGGGCAGCUGGGACGUCCUGACGACGUGGUCUCACCUCCCAGUGCGGCGAAACAUAAAAACACUGACACCCCCAAGUGCUGGCGAGGACACGGGGCAGCUGGGACGUCCUGACCUCACUGGGGAGAGUGCAAAGUGGCAUGGCCACUCUGGAAAACUGCUUGGUGGCUUCUUGUCAAGUUCAACAUACACUUAUGACCCAGCAAUUAUACUUCUAGGUAUUUGCCCAAGAAAAAUGGGAGUUUAUCUCCAAAGACAGCCUGCACAGGAACGCUUAUCCCGUCUCUACUCUUGAAUGCCCCAGGCUAGACGCAGCCCGGAUGUCCUGCAAUGGGCAUGCAGAUAAAGACACUGUGAACCAUCCACAUGACGUGUUACCGCUUGGCUGUGAAAAGGAACAAAUGAUUGGCACACAACCUGGAUGGAUCUCAAAUCGUGCUGUUACACAGAAGACGUAAAAUGAUUACAUACUGGUGAUCCCAUUUGUAUGACAUUGUCCAGGAAACUAAACUUGGGGGACAGAGAAUCAUUUCCAUUGUGGCCACCAGGGGCUGGGGUGCGGACAAGCCUCAAGGGCAG